GACGAACGCUGGCGGCGUGCCUAAUACAUGCAAGUCGAGCGAGUCUGCCUUGAAGACCGGAGUGCUUGCACUCUGUGAAACAAGAUACAGGCUAGCGGCGGACGGGUGAGUAACACGUGGGUAACCUGCCCAAGAGAUCGGGAUAACACCUGGAAACAGAUGCUAAUACCGGAUAACAACAGAUGAUGCCUAUCAACUGUUUAAAAGAUGGUUCUGCUAUCACUCUUGGAUGGACCUGCGGUGCAUUAGCUAGUUGGUAGGGUAACGGCCUACCAAGGCGAUGAUGCAUAGCCGAGUUGAGAGACUGAUCGGCCACAUUGGGACUGAGACACGGCCCAAACUCCUACGGGAGGCAGCAGUAGGGAAUCUUCCACAAUGGACGCAAGUCUGAUGGAGCAACGCCGCGUGAGUGAAGAAGGGUUUCGGCUCGUAAAGCUCUGUUGUUGGUGAAGAAGGACAGGGGUAGUAACUGACCUUUGUUUGACGGUAAUCAAUUAGAAAGUCACGGCUAACUACGUG
rnacentral:rRNA from 1 species